AUUGAACGCUGGCGGCAGGCCUAACACAUGCAAGUCGAACGAGUGGCGGACGGGCGAGUAAUGUCUGGGAAACUGCCUGAUGUAGGGGGAUAACUACUGGAAACGGUAGCUAAUACCGCAUACCAUCGGAUGUGCCCAGAUGGGAUUAGCUAGUAGGUGGGGUAAAGGCUCACCUUGGCGACGAUCCCUAGCUGGUCUGAGAGGAUGACCGGCCACACUGGAACUGAGACACGGUCCAGACUCCUACGGGAGGCAGCAGUGGGGAAUAUUGCACAAUGGGCGCAAGCCUGAUGGAGCCAUGCCGCGUGUAUGAAGAAGGCCUUCGGGUUGUAAAGUACUGUCGGCGGGGAGGCGUUACCCGCAGAAGAAGCACCGGCUAACUCCGUGCCAGCAGCCGCGGUAAUAC
rnacentral:rRNA from 1 species